AACUAAAUAAAAACGCGUAAUUGAUCUCUAAUAAAUUGGUGGAGUAGUGCUGUCACUUUGACUGUAGUGGCCCAUAUAUAACUAAAAAUUAUGAAAGCACAUAACCCGUGACUUUCUUGAUCCGUUAAUACCUCUUUUUACAAUUUGGUUUUUUCAUUAGACCUUUAAACUUAAAUAUUUACACUGUUUAAAUGAGAGAGUGGGGACAGAGUGGCAAAGCGGAAUAAGGCGUCGGUUACGACGCAUACCGUUCCUGGUGUGAACCUCGGUCUUGGACGUCACUUCAUUCGGGGAGUCACGGUGUCUGGAGAGAGAGGCCCCCAUCCCCCAUUUGCACAUGGCGGAUGCCUACAAGUGCCCACUUGAAAAUUCUGCCUAACUAAAUCUACUGUACUCUCCCCUAAAGUUCAAAAUCACCCAAUUUGACCCGGGUUCAAGUCAAAACUGACUACUAUGCACACAAACGUUUGAUCGUCCGAGAAAAAAAACAGAUGAUCCACCCAAGUACCAUUUAAUCAUUCGUUUCUGUAAUUGAGACAUUACAUGCUGGGUUUUUAAACAUUUAUUUUUGAUGGUUGUAACAUUUUUUCAAUCAAUGUUCCCUGUUGCACACUUGCAUUAAUGGAGGCAAAAUAGUAAGCGCUGACUGCACUCACAAAUUGACUACAUACGGUAUAAAAGUAGGAUUAACCAAAUAUGCUGCAACUUAUUGCGCUGUACUUUUAGUCGGCCACAUGGUAAGUUAUUCAAGUUAAUUUGUAAUAUCUUGUUUUAAUUCCACGUUUCUAUGUUUAGUUAUUGAAAAAACUUGGUUUGGACCAUUGUAUGAAGGAUUAAAAGAAGCUAAUGGUGAAGAAUACUAUGUAGAACCUGCUGAUGAAGAUCCAAAUGCUUUCUGUUGCAAUCUAGAUGUUGUUGCUGGUGCUUGAGUUUUUGGAGCAGUGAAAGGAGCCUUAGAUGGAGGUUUCAAAAUUCAUCACAGGGUGAAAAGAUUCCUAGACUAUGAUGCAGUACUAGGUUUAUGGAGCAAUGAAAGAGCCUUAGAUGGAGGUUUCAACACUCCUCACAGCAUAAAACGAUCCCCAGAAUAUGGUGCUGUACUAGGUUUUUGGAGCAAUGAGUGAGCCUUAGAUGGAGAUUUCAACAUUCCUCACAGGGUGAAAAGAUUCCCAGACUAUGAUGUUAUGCUAGAGUUUUUGGAGCAAUAAAAGGAGUCGUCAAUAAAGGUUUAAACACUCCUCACAGGGCGAAACGAUUCCCGGGCUAUAAUGUUGGAAAAUAUGUACGAGAAAGCUUGUAUAAUGAUCAGGAGUGAUCUGAAACAAGAUAGGACGCCAAAGAUGGAGGUUUCAACAUUCCUCACAGGGUGAAAAGAUUCCUAGACUAUGCUAGAAAUUUUGGAGCAAUGAAAGGAGUUGUCGAUAAAGGUUUCAACAUUCCUCACAGGGUGAAAAGAGUCCCAGACUAUGAUGCUGUACUAAGUUCUUGGAGCAAUGAAAGAGCCUUAGAUGGAGGUUUCAACAUUCCUCACAGCAUAAAACGAUUCCCAGAAUAUGGUACUGUACUAAUUUUUUGGAGCAAUGAGCGAGCCUUAGAUGGAGAUUUCAACAUUCCUCACAGGGUGAAAAGAUUCCCAGACUAUGAUGCUGUACUAAGUUCUUGGAGCAAUGAAAGAGCCUUAGAUGGAGGUUUCAACAUUCCUCGCAGCAUAAAACGAUCCCCAGAAUAUGAUGCUGUACUAAGUUUUUGGAGCAAUGAAAGAGCCUUAGAUGGAGGUUUCAACAUUCCUCACAGCAUAAAACGAUCCCCAGAAUAUGAUGCUGUACUAAGUUUUUGGAGCAAUGAAAGAGCCUUAGAUGGAGGUUUCAACAUUCCUCACAGGGUGAAAAGAUUCCCAGACUAUGAUGCUGUACUAAGUUCUUGGAGCAAUGAAAGAGCCUUAGAUGGAGGUUUCAACAUUCCUCACAGCAUAAAACGAUCCCCAGAAUAUGAUGCUGUACUACGUUUUUGGAGCAAUGAAAGAGCCUUAGAUGGAGGUUUCAACAUUCCUCGCAGGGUGAAAAGAUUCCCAGACUAUGAUGCUGGAAAAUAUGUACGCGGAUGCUUGUGGAAUAAUGAGUGUCCUGAUACGAGAUAAGAAGCUGAAGAAGGAGGUUUCAAAGGAACUUGUUGUAGAUGCCAAUGAUGCGUAUCUUAGGCCCAUAUGACAAUCAUAGUUUAAACCUCUGUUAACCCACUGAUUUUACUGGCCGUAUUCAGUGGUUCAACCUUAGUUUAACGAUUGUAAUACGGGCACUUAAGGAGUUACAAGGCCAAACAGUUGGAAUCCUAAACCGUUUUAUGUGCUGAGUCUGUUAUUUCAAUAAAACUUAUUAAACAAUUUUU
rnacentral:sRNA from 1 species